GANNACCGGUCCACACAACGUGUGCGCAUCUGGCUCGGCCUCGGCAUCCUCUCGAUAGACGUUUCUGCGCUUGAUUGCGUGGANCGGAUCUCGGGACUUUUACUUUGAGGAAAUUAGAGUGUUCACGGCAGGCUAUCGCCANAAUACAUUANCAUGGAAUAAUACUAUAGGAUCUUGNUUCUAUUUUGUUGGUUUCUANAANUGANAUAANGAUUAAUANGGACAGUUGGGGGCAUUCNUAUCAACACGUCANAAGUGGAAUUCUUGGAUUGUGUUGCGACNAACUACUGCGAAAGCAUUUGCCAAGGAUGUUUUCAUUGAUCAAGAACGAAAGUAAGGGGAUCGAAGACGAUUAGAUACCGUCGUAGUCUUUACCAUAAACUAUGCCAACUAGAGAUGGGGCAUCGUUCACUUACGACUUGCUCCGCACCUUAUGAGAUAUCAAAGUCUUUGGGUUCCGGGGGGAGUAUGGUCGCAAGGCUGAAACUUAAAGGAAUUGACGGAAGGGCACCACCAGGAGUGGAGCCUGCGGCUUAAUUUGACUCAACACGGGGAAACUCACCAGGUCCAGACAUAAUAAGGAUUGACAGAUUGAUAGCUCUUUCUUGAUUCUAUGGGUGGUGGUGCAUGGCCGUUCUUAAUUGGUGGAGUGAUUUGUCUGCUUAAUUGCGUUAACGAACGANACCUCAACCUGCUAAAUANACCANCCUAUCCUCGGAUAAGCUGCUGUCUUCUUANAGGGACUUUGCCCGCUUCAGGGUANGGAAGUUUGAGUCUAAAACAGGUCUGUAAUACCCUUAGAUGUUCUGGGCUGCACGCGCGCUGCACUGAUGCGUUCAACGAGUGUAAAACCUUGCCAGGCAUGGUUGGGUAAUCUUUUGAACACGCAUCGUGAUGGGGAUAGAUUAUUGCAAUUAUUAAUCUUCNANGAGGAAA
rnacentral:rRNA from 1 species